GAUGAACGCUGGCGGCGUGCCUAAUACAUGCAAGUCGAGCGAACGGAUAAGGAGCUUGCUCCUUUGAAGUUAGCGGCGGACGGGUGAGUAACACGUGGGUAACCUACCUAUAAGACUGGAAUAACUUCGGGACACCGGAGCUAAUGCCGGACAACAUUUGGAACUGCAUGGUUCUAAAGUAAAAGAUGGUUGUGCUAUCACUUAUAGAUGGACCCGCGCCGUAUUAGCUAGUGGGUAAGGUAACGGCUUACCAAGGCAACGAUACGUAGCCGACCUGAGAGGGUGAUCGGCCAAACUGGAACUGAGACACGGUCCAGACUCCUACGGGAGGCAGCAGUAGGGAAUCUUCCGCAAUGGACGAAAGUCUGACGGAGCAACGCCGCGUGAGUGAUGAAGGUUUUCGGAUCGUAAAACUCUGUUAUUAGGGAAGAACAAAUGUGUAAGUAACUGUGCACAUCUUGACGGUACCUAAUCAGAAAGCCACGGCUAACUACGUGCCAGCCGCCGCCGUAA
rnacentral:rRNA from 1 species